UACGUAGGGUGCAAGCGUUAAUCGGAAUUACUGGGCGUAAAGCGUGCGCAGGCGGUGAUGUAAGACAGGUGUGAAAUCCCCGGGCUUAACCUGGGAACUGCGUUUGAAACUACAAGGCUAGAGUGUGGCAGAGGGGGGUGGAAUUCCACGUGUAGCAGUGAAAUGCGUAGAGAUGUGGAGGAAUACCGAGUGGCGAAGGCAGCCCCCUGGGAUAACACUGACGCUCAUGCACGAAAGCGUGGGGAGCAAACAGG
rnacentral:rRNA from 1 species